UGUGUGUAAAUAAAUGGCCGCGGUAUCUUGACCGUGCAAAGGUAGCAUAAUCAUUUGCCCUUUAAUUGGGGGCUGGAAUGAAGGAAAGUUUGUGGUUUGAGCUGUCUCUUUCUUGUGUUAGAAUUUGCUGUUUUUGUGAAGAAGCAAAGGUUUUUAAAAAAGACAAGAAGACCCUUUUAAGCUUUACUUUUUUGGUUGUUUUUUUUUCUUUUAAGUAUGCAGGAGUGGAUCAUAAAAGUUUGGUUGGGGUGACUAAAGAAGAUAAAAUCUUCUUUUUUUGUGUUAACUUUGGGUUUAAUGUUGACCCGAUAUCUGUCGGUUGAAGGAAUUAGUUACUAAAGGGAUAACAGCGUAAUCUUUUCAGAUAGUUCUUAUUGAAGAAGAGGAUUGCGACCUCGAUGUUGACUUGUCUUUUCCUUUGAAGGUGCAGGAGCUAGGAGGGUUGGUCUGUUCGACCAUUAAAAUGAC
rnacentral:rRNA from 1 species